rnacentral:lncRNA from 1 species
GGGGCCGUCCCACUCCCAGCCGCUCCCCAGCUCCCGCCGCGGCCCCGGGGGCUCCGCGGGCAGGGUCAAAGUCCAGCCCCGGCCGUGCGGCCCGACAGCACCGCGCACCCGCGGCCUGAGGUGGAUGUGGCAGCCAUGGUGCAGCUCUUUGGCUACGUGGAUGUGACCGACACUGGCUUCAUUGUGGCUGUCCUCUCAAUCGCCUUCAACCCUUUCUUCUGGAAUAUGGGAGCACAAAACACGAGCACUCAGCCAAGUCUUCGGCUCUCCCCAUGCUGCCUGUUACUGCCUGGGUGCUGUGAUCCUGGUGCUGAACUGUGUGCGGAGCCACUGCUUCACAGAAGCCAUGAAGAGCCAGCCGAAGCUGGAGGGAUGGGACUGCCACUGGACCUACUACUCAGGCUUGGCCAUCUCGGCUGUAGGGACCUUGUUUGUCAUCUCCAGCUUCUUAGCACUGGGAUUCACGGGGACCUUCCUAGGUGAUUACUUUGGCAUCCUGAUGGAGGAAAAAGUGACCAGCUUCCCCUUCAGCAUCCUGGAUAACCCCAUGUACUGGGGCAGCACAGCCAUCUACCUGGGCUGGUCCCUCAUGCACGCCAGCCCAGCUGGCCUUUUGCUGACAGCUGUAGUGGCAAUUUCCUACACAAUCGCUGUGCUGUAUGAGGGGCCUUUCACAGAGGAAAUCUAUCGGAGGAAGCAGAAGGGAGUGAAGGGCAAGUAGCCCCAGGGCACUCUCUGGGGUACCUCGUGCCUCUCCGGUCCCCACACUGUCUGAUUUGCCCAUUUUCCUGAGAUGUAUCCUACUAAUUAACCCAGCAACCCUUAAUGAGCCGACUGAGCUCCCUGCAGCACUGGAAGUGACCAGAGGAACAGCCUGAGCGUGGUGGCAGCUCCUUGCCACAGCCUGUGGGAGAUGGAGGUCCCUGUCCCCAGGGCUCUGUCCAGGUCCUGCAGCUCCUGAUGCUCUCCUGGGAGUUCCACAGCAUGGGACCUGCCCACCUCUUCUCCCACACGGAUUACUGGAGAUCUACAGGCAAAAAUGAAUUCCCUUUGGACUGGAGGGAAAGCAGAGUAAUGAUGGAAACACAGGGGGGCUUUCAUAAGUGGGCUCUGGGCAUAUGGAAGCACCAGCUCCAGCUGAUCCUGAAGAUCUUCUGAAGGUGCUGCCACAGAGCCACGAGAAGCAGACAAAGCUCAGGUCCAGCAAUGGAGAGAGCUCAGGAGCCCCUGAGGAUUCAAACACAGAUGGGGAAGGAACAGGGGGAAACUGCUGUGAGCUGAACAACAGCAAAACCUGCUGCAAACCCAAAAACCAGCCCCUUCUUUUUUUGGGAAAGGAACGUCCCCAUCCAGAGCUGCAUUUCCCACCCGCGCAGAGCCCUGCAGCAUCUCCACACUAUUGCAGAGGCUCUAAGUGACUGAAAAGCACAGGAGUGAGAAUGUGUGACCUAAAGCACAUCCCAGUGGCACGGAGGGGUGGCAGCUGUCCUGUGGGGAAGCCCCAGCAUGGAGAAGAUCCAGGGGAAGAGUCAGUCCCUGUCUGCACUUCACAGAUAUCCCACCCCUGGCCGUGUUGGUGCCACAGCCCCUCCUUUUCCCUGGGUCCACAUGAGGGUCCUGCUGCCUUUCCCACCACCCAGUGCCUUCCAGCUGUUUUCCACGGUCCUGCAGGGGCAGUGGGAGGGAGGGAGGAGAGGGCAGGGUUUGUUUCUGCCUUCCACACCGUGCAGCAGCCAGGUACGGAUGUGCCCCUCCGCCCCUGCCACCAGCCUGUCCCAAAAUUGUCCAGUUCUGAAUCCUGCCUUGAACAGAAAGAUUCCAGAGGUGGUGCUCCAGCCCCAGGCUCUGUUUUCACAGAUUCCCAGAACGGUUUGAGAAAUAAAGUGUGAAUGAGCAGAGGAGCAGGUGCUGGAGCUGGAGCUGUGCUGCUGCCAGCUCCACUGGAACGUGGCACCACAUCUCAGCAUCACACUGUCCCCUCCACAGAGGGUUCUCCCUCUUCUCAGUGUCACCUCCAUGAAACAGUUCCAUUUCCUUUUGCUUUCCCACCUUGUAAUUAACCCACUCAGCAGAAUUAAAAGUGUUGGUCUCUUUUCAGUCCAGACUCCAUUUCCUCCGGAAGGGCUCACAAAUGCUGUGUUUGUGUUUCAUCACUUCAGAACCAUUACACAUAGAUUUAUUUUUUUAUUGCCAUCUCAACCACCUUCCUCUCAAAGAUUUGGGCAUAGUAUUUUAUUUUUAGAUAAGUUUCCACAUUCCCUUCACAGCUAAUGUUUAUAGAGGGAGGCUAAACUGGCCCAGUACCCAUAGCAACCAUCGAGGAGAGGAUACAUUGCAUUAUUCAGACAAUUUAUGUCAGAGUUGCCAGUCCUGGCUCAAAGUCUCUGAUGUCAAUAAACUUGGAUUUGUUGAUAAGUGAAAUCAGUAUUUGCUGAAGAAGCACGUGCUCAUACGGGAAGAAUUAUUCCUAAUGAGAGCGCAGCGAGGGCUGUAUUUGUGCUGUCUGAUUCUGAGGACCGUGUGUGCCUUUCCCAGUCCCUUCUGCAAGGCCAAUACCCCAAUUCCCCUCCCCAGCCAAUACCAGACUCCUGGAAUGUGUGUCUGUCACCACAAACCCCAGUGGUGGAGCUGCUUCCCAUCCCAUGCCCACAGCACCCCAUCAGCACAGGGAUUUGGUGCUGUGCUGGGACCUUCACACACUCCUUCCCCCUUGAUCUGCCAUUUCCAGCACAUGGGUUUUUUUGGGGGCUAUGCCAGACACACCCCUGGUGUUUGUAGCUCUUCCCACAGCAGCCAGCAUGGAUUAAACAUCUCUGCCUUCACACAAAUGGCUUUGGCUGCCAUAAAGUUGGAGUUUGAUGUUUCAGAGGCCCCUGCUCUGUUUAGAAGAGGGAAGGUGAGGAGCUGGAAGUUGAUGUUUCAGCCCAUUUCAUGGGCUCUGAGCCCACCUUUCUCCCUGGGGCAGGGGCAGGCCUUGGCCAGGGCCAGUCCCAGGUGUUGCUGUGCUGCUCUCUGGGGCUGCAGGGAGGGAAACACAGAGACACCAUUAUUUAUGUUGUUUUAUGGUAUUUAGCAACAAUAAAUUAGGGGACUCUCCUUGGUUAUAAGGAAAAAAAAAUGUGAUUCCUCUCCAAUUGCCUAAUAUUUCCAAGAAUUGGAAGUUACACAGGGAGGGGGUGAAACCUUCAGGCUGAGCACGAAGUGCUGGUGCUGUCACAGCUCUUUUCCCUCUUCCCGGCUGCAUCUGGGACACAUCCUGCAUGGAUGCAGGGUGGAUCUCGUGGCCAGGAUCAGAACAUGAGUCCUGCUGCUUCCAGAGGACAGAGCUGCACUGUGGGACCCCCAGCACCAGCUGGAUGCAGCCCCAGCUCUGCAGUGCCACAGGCAGGAGCAUCCAGCUCAUGCAAAGAUGUCAAAGACCAAAUGGAGUCCCUGGAAAUGGGGUCAUGGGGCCAUUUUCAUACCUUCAUGCCUUCAAAAUCCAGCAUGGGGCUUUCUGGGCCCACUGGAGCUUGGCUGGGAGGUUGUUUGUGGCCUUGGGAAUUGCUUCACGUGAUGCCGUGUGCUAACACCGCAGAUAACACUUCCUUUGAAGUUUGGGAUAUUUCUCCAGAGCAAACACCAGGAAAGGAGAAACUAGUUAAAUGUCAACUCCUACCUGGCAGGGACAGCUGGGUCACCCAGGGCAUCACUCUGUGCUGCCUCAGCUCUCCCCAUCCCAUCAGAAAAGCUCUGUGCCCACCCUCAUGGAGGAUUUCUCCUCAUGGUCGCUUGCGUGGCUCCCCCACACCCAUCUCCCUUCCAUGGAGCUGCACGUGGCAAUUCCUUGGGAUGAGAGGAUCAAUAAACACCCCAGCAGUGGGGAUGAGGGGUCAGCUCCACGGGAUGCUUCAUCCAGGAACGCUUCAGGAGGUGGAGGCUGCAUCCUGUGGUCCUUUCCCUGAUGGUGGUGACAUCCAGGAGCAGGGACACAUUCCCAAAGUCCUUUCUCUCCGUUGUGACCGCCUGUAACCCUGUGCCCCUGUUUGCUUUUGCCAGGGAAGCUGCUCUGCCUUGCCCCAGGGCAGGGAUGGCCAUCGGGUGGCAAACAAACACAGAAUAAACACCGUGGCAAACAAGCACAGAACGAACACGUGGCACAAUCAGGGUGGCACAUGUGGCACUGGCAGCACUGGGAAUUCACCGUUCCCACCCCGCUCCUGGUGCUGAGUCUGCACUCGGGCUGGUUGGGAAGGUGGCAGGAGAUGAGGGGCUCAUGGCUCUGGUGAGGGCUCCAAACCCAUCCCAACUCUGAGGCAGAACCUUUUUUGCCAGUGGUUGGGAUUUGAUGUAAAAGCAAAGAUGAACUUUGAGGUUUGGGGGCAGUUUGGGCACUGCUUUAUUUGGGAUCCCUUAAUCCAAAGAAGGUGGACAGGGGACGUGACAGAAUUUAGAUUUAUAGGGGAAUAAACCAGCCUGUUGUAUCCCUGCUGUAUAGGGAAAACAAUCUGGACUUUAAAUGCUCACAAAGCAAUGGGGAGAACACUCUGGUGGGAAACUAUUCCCAUGGGGGAAACCCCCAGUGCUGGAGCCCAAACAAAUUCCUAGGGCAGGAUGGGGAUGCCAGGGCUGAGCUGCAUGGGCUCUGCUGGCGGGUCCAUGCUCAGGGAUCUGGGACACAGGCAGUUCCCAACCCACUGGUGUCCAGGGAAUGCUUUGAAAUCUCCCCCAGUGCUGAGAGAGCAGCAGCAGCACCCCAAGGCCAUUGUCCCCCUGCCCCAGGCAUCACCCCCCUCAGGGACAGGGUGGAGAAGGCUCCAUCCAAGCCAACCCAGCCCAUUUCCAGCCUCACUCCGGGGGCCCUUACGCACGGAGCCCCCGCCAUGAGGCAGAGGACAAGUUACCAGGCUGUUUUCUUUAAUUUUCACACUCCAAAUCCACCCCGAGACAGCCCGGUGAGCCGUAUCCUCCUUGGAUCCUGUUUCAAAGGGGAAAAAAAAUGGUAGGAAUGUGCUGCUUUUUCCAUGUUGCAUUUUCUUCGGGAGGAGCUGUUUAUGGAGCACAGCUCCUUUCCCAGUCAGGGGCGCAGGAGGGCUCAGAGCCAUCAGAGCCCCAGGAAGACAUCAGGGCCAGGCUCUGCCUGCUGGGCUGGGAGCCUCCAGGCUCCUGGAUUUGGCCACGGGCUCAGCCUUUGUCCGGCUCAACUCCCCAAAUUCCAGCCUCUCCACCCCUGCUCCGGCCUCAGCCCCUGCAGACCCUCAGGAGCAGAUGUGGGAGCUGGCAGGAAACAUCUCCGGGCUCCGAGUCCUCAGCACUGCUCCUUCCUCUGCCAGCCCCUGCCUGGCACUGCCCACCCGGCUCCCUGCCUCCUCCUGGGCUCUCAUUUCUGUCCUGCCAGCCCUGCCAAGCAUCGCUAUUUCCAUGGGAACCUGCCUGAAAUCCGCAGCAAUGCAUCCACUGGGGUCAGCAAACCUCCCUCUCCCCUGUGCUUCGUAUUCCCAGCCCAGCUGGUGCCUCUCUCUGCUUACAGGUGACAUUUCCCUCUAAUCCCAGAGAAGCUGAAGGAAACUCUGCUCCUUGGAAGGGAGCAGAAGGUGCUGGAGUGGGAGGACACAUCCAGGACAUGGAAACACCUUUGUUCAUGCUGGCAGGUUGUUGCAUGACCUGUGGGCAAAAGGAUGGGAUGAAAGGAGGUGGAAACUGGGAGCAGAGGAUUUCCAGGAUGCUCCUGGCUCAGAGCUGCAUCGUGCU